rnacentral:rRNA from 1 species
AACGCGAAGAACCUUACCCAGGCUCGAAAUGUAGAGGACGAUAUCAGAGAUGAUAUUUUCCGCAAGGACUUUUAUAUAGGUGCUGCAUGGCUGUCGUCAGCUCGUGCCGUGAGGUGUUGGGUUAAGUCCCGCAACGAGCGCAACCCUUAUCAUUAGUUGCCAACACGCGAGGUGGGGACUCUAAUGAGACUGCCUGGGUUAACCAGGAGGAAGGUGAGGAUGAUGUCAAGUCCGCAUGGCCUUUAUGUCUGGGGCUACACACGUGCUACAAUGGUCGGUACAGAAGGCAGCAAGACCGCAAGGUGGAGCAAAUCCGUAAAGCCGAUCACAGUUCAGAUUGUAGUCUGCAACUCGACUACAUGAAGUUGGAAUUGCUAGUAAUGACGUGUCAGCAACAACGUCGUGAAUACGUUCCCGGGCCUUGUA